rnacentral:rRNA from 1 species
AUUGAACGCUGGCGGCAUACCUUACACAUGCAAGUCGAACGGUAACAGGUCUUCGGAUGCUGACGAGUGGCGAACGGGUGAGUAAUACAUCGGAACGUGCCUAGUAGUGGGGGAUAACUACUCGAAAGAGUGGCUAAUACCGCAUGAGAUCUACGGAUGAAAGCAGGGGAUCGCAAGACCUUGUGCUACUAGAGCGGCCGAUGGCAGAUUAGGUAGUUGGUGGGAUAAAAGCUUACCAAGCCGACGAUCUGUAGCUGGUCUGAGAGGACGAUCAGCCACACUGGGACUGAGACACGGCCCAGACUCCUACGGGAGGCAGCAGUGGGGAAUUUUGGACAAUGGGCGCAAGCCUGAUCCAGCAAUGCCGCGUGCAGGAUGAAGGCCUUUGGGUUGUAAACUGCUUUUGUACGGAACGAAAAGCCCUGGGUUAAUACCCUGGGGUCAUGACGGUACCGUAAGAAUAAGCACCGGCUAACUACGUGCCAGCCGCCGCCGUAAGAC